AGCUGUUUUGGGACUACAAUUCCCAUCAUUCCUGACCACUGGUCCUGUUAGCUAGGGAUGAUGGGAGUUGUAGUCCCAAAACAGCU